GAAUCUCGGCAGGAUUCGAACCUGCGCCUCCGGCAAAGUAGUCGGCGUACUACACGCUACACCACGAGGUU